rnacentral:rRNA from 2 species
AACGUAGGUCCCGAGCGUUAUCCGGAUUUACUGGGCGUAAAGCGUGUUCAGGCGGUCUAGCAAGUCGGGCAUGAAAUCUCUCGGCUCAACCGGGAGGGGUUGUCCGAUACUGCUGGGCUUGAGGGCAGCAGAGGGUGGUGGAAUUCCGGGUGUAGUGGUGAAAUGCGUAGAUAUCCGGAGGAACACCAGUGGCGAAGGCGGCCACCUGGGCUGUACCUGACGCUCCAACACGAAAGCUAGGGGAGCGAACGGG